rnacentral:lncRNA from 12 species
GGGGGCUCGGUGGGGCGGGACACACGCAGCGGGCCGGUGCCGCUGCGGGGCGGCUCCGUCCGCGCUUUGUGCCGCUGGCGAUGCCGAGGGAGGCGUCUCCUGCCCCACAUACCCUCUCCCCGCGCUGGGGCGCGGGCCCCGCCGUGCUGAGCCGCUGCCCCUCGGCCCUGAGCGGCGGCAGGGGGGGGGGGGGGGGGGGGGGGGGGCUGCCCCUCGGCCCUGAGCGGCGGCAGGCUCAGCCCGUCCCCCGGGCCGUGCGGCGGGUCGGCAGCGCCCACGCUUUGCUGUGCUUUUUCUGGACGCAAGCGUCAGUCGUGCCCGAGGGUCAGGUGCCCCUUUGCACGCCAGGGGAUGGGCGGGGUGGUGCGCUGGAAAAGUUCCCUUGUUAAAGUUCCCUUGCCUCCCUGCAGCGCUGCACCUGUCCCUCGUGUUUUCCCAGGAGCAUGGCUUGCUCGUCUUUAUCCACAGAUCCCUCACCAUCGAGGAGUUUCGAGAUUGCAGGGAAGAAGCGUUGAAGUUUCUUUCUGUCUUUAUGGAAAAAGCUGGUGACAAAAUUCAUCCUUAUGCCUGUAAUAUUAAGCAAAUUUGUCUUAGUGUCUAUACGAAAGAUAGAGCAGCAAAAUGUAAAAUCUCAGCACUGGAACUUCUGAUUAAGUUACUCCAUAGUUUACAACGCUCCUGUCUGAUGGAAGAAAUGAAAGUUAGAGAGAUAUUUAAUAAAUUUUAUGGGGAACUUGCUGCAAAAAGUAAAAUUCCUGAUACAGUAUUGGAAAAGAUUUAUGAGCUUUUGGGGGUUUUGGGAGAAGUCCAGCCUGGUGACAUGAUUAACAACUCUGAGAAACUGUUCCGAGCUUAUUUGGGAGAGCUUAGAACACAGAUGACAUCUGCUACAAGGGGACCCAAGCUACCUCUUGUAGCAGGAUGUCUGAGGGGACUGGUUGCACUCAUGUACAACUUCACCAAGUCUGUGGAUGAAGAUCCUCAGACUGCAAAGGAGAUUUUUGAUUUUGCAAUGAAGGCAAUCAACCCACAGGUA